GAUGAACGCUAGCGGCAGGCUUAAUACAUGCAAGUCGAACGGGAUUCAGGGUAGCAAUACUUUGAUGAGAGUGGCGCACGGGUGCGUAACGCGUAUGCAACCUACCUUUAACAGGGGAAUAGCCCCGAGAAAUCGGGAUUAAUACUCCGUAACAUUGCGGGAUGGCAUCAUUCUGCAAUUAAAGAUUUAUCGGUUAAAGAUGGGCAUGCGUGACAUUAGCUUGUUGGUGAGGUAACGGCUCACCAAGGCAACGAUGUCUAGGGGUCCUGAGAGGGUUAUCCCCCACACUGGUACUGAGACACGGACCAGACUCCUACGGGAGGCAGCAGUAAGGAAUAUUGGUCAAUGGGCGCAAGCCUGAACCAGCCAUGCCGCGUGCAGGAAGACGGCCCUAAUGGGUUGUAAACUGCUUUUGUCAGGGAAUAAACCUGUCUACGUGUAGACAGCUGAAGGUACCUGAAGAAUAAGCAUCGGCUAACUCCGUGCCAGCAGCCG
rnacentral:rRNA from 1 species